AUUGAACGCUAGCGGGAUGCUCUACACAUGCAAGUCGAACGGCAGCGCGGACUUCGGUCUGGCGGCGAGUGGCGAACGGGUGAGUAAUGUAUCGGAACGUGCCCAGUAGCGGGGGAUAACUACGCGAAAGCGUAGCUAAUACCGCAUACGCCCUACGGGGGAAAGCAGGGGGUCGUAGGACCUUGCACGCUUGGAGCGGCGGAUAUCGGGUUAGUUAGUUGGUUGGGUAACGGGUCACCAAGGCGACGAUCCGCAGCUGGUUUGAGAGGACGACUAGCCACACUGGGACUGAGACACGGCCCAGACUCCUACGGGAGGCAGCAGUUGGGAAUUGUGGACAAUGGGGGCAACCCUGAUCCAGCCAUCCCGCGUGUGCGAUGGAGGCCUUCGGGUUGGAAAGCACUUUUGGCAGGAAAGAAACGUCGCGGGCUAAGACGCCGUGGAACUGACGGUACCUGCAGAAUAAGCACCGGCUAACUACGUG
rnacentral:rRNA from 1 species